AUUGAACGCUGGCGGCAGGCCUAACACAUGCAAGUCGAACGAGUGGCGGACGGGUGAGUGAUGUCUGGGAAACUGCCCGAUGGAGGGGGAUAACUACUGGAAACGGUGGCUAAUACCGCAUACACUCGGAUGUGCGCCGAUGGGAGUAGCUUGUAGGUGAGGUAACGGCUCACCUAGGCGACGAUGCCUAGCUGGUGUGAGAGGAGGACCAGCCACACUGGAACUGAGACACGGUCCAGACUCCUACGGGAGGCAGCAGGGGGGAAUAUUGCACAAUGGGCGCAAGCCUGAUGCAGCCAGGCCGCGUGUAUGAAGAAGGCCUUAGGGUUGUAAAGUACUUUCAGCGGGGAGGCGGUACCUGCAGAAGAAGCACCGGCUAACUCCGUGCCAGCAGCCGCGGUAAUUC
rnacentral:rRNA from 1 species